CCGCCGGCGACCGGCGCACGGGUGAGUAACACGUAUGCAACCUGGCCGUGACAGAUGGAUAACCGGGAGAAAUCCCGCCUAAUACAACAUAAUGCCGGGAGGGGACAUCCCCUGCCGGCCAAAGGGGGCGACCCCGGUCACGGAUGGGCAUGCGGCGCAUUAGGUAGUUGGUGGGGCAACGGCCCACCAAGCCGACGAUGCGUAGGGGUUCUGAGAGGAAGGUCCCCCACCAUUGGAACUGAGACACGGUCCAAACUCCUACGGGAGGCAGCAG
rnacentral:rRNA from 1 species